GCGAGAAUAGAAGAAGCUUUGUAUUUGACUUCUUGAUCAAAUUGAUUUCUUCAGGGAUAUUGAUUGGCGGAGUGGGAUCACUUCUCAGCUCGAAUUCUUCCGCGUCCAAUUCGCAUUUAUCGUUUGCUGACUUCCCUAAAGAAACAACAUGGACAACAGUGAAAGAAGAUCAAUUCCAAUACCCAUCAUCACCAAAUCACCAAAAUAUAAAUCCAAAGAAGAAAUCCAAAUUUCUAUUUGGAGGUAAGAAUGUUCCCUUUUUCCCAUUGAUCUAAGUUAAAUGUGUUUAGGCUAAAGUUUACCAUUUCAUUCAUACUUUACACUGGACUCCAGAUGAUUAUAGGAGAAGGGUGUUUUUCAACUAUGAAAAACGUAUAAGAAUCCAAAGUCCUCCUGAGAAGGUGUUUGAAUAUUUUGCGUCUAUCCACACACCUGAAGGGGAAAUAUAUAUGAGACCAUCAGAUCUGAUGAGGGCCAUUGUCCCUGUGUUUCCUCCAUCUGAGUCCAAUCGUGUUAGAGAAGGCUUUUUAAGAGGAGAAAGAAGAAUGUCUGGAGAACUAUGUUGUGCUCCUUCUACCUUUUUCAUGCUCUUCGACACCAACAAUGAUGGCCUCAUCUCUUUUGCAGAGUAAGAAUUCUUGGACCUUUCUUCCAACUUCAUGAUCAUUUACACAACCGGACAUUCACAUAUAGUUGAACUUCAUUCAAACUUAAAUAAAUACCUAAUGCUUUUAUUAUAAUUUUUAGUUCAUGAUUUAUUUCCGGUGAGCUAUCUAAUAAAUUGUUGAAUUUUAAUAAGGUUAAAGUAUUCAACUUUAAGUUUAUAGUGCCCAAACCUAUGGGAUCAAAACCAAAAGAUCAUGCAUUGUGCUCUCAUCUCUUCUGUUUGCAGGUACAUAUUUUUUGUUACACUUCUCAGCAUACCAGAAUCCAGCUUUUCAGUGGCAUUCAAAAUGUUUGACAUUGAUAACAAUGGGUUAGAUAAUUAAUUGCUUCUUCAAAUUCGUCACUUUCCACAUUUGUUUCCUCUACUAUUCACAAUCCUCUUGGGUAAUGAAUGUUAUCUGUGUUAUCUGUCUUUGUUGAUAAAAAUAGUGAAAUAGACAGGGAGGAGUUCAAGAAAGUGAUGGGUUUGAUGAGAAAACAGAACAGACAGGGAGCUCAUCACAGAGAGGGAAGAAGGUUUGGGAUGAAGGUUAGUGUUGAAAAUGGUGGUUUAGUAGAAUACUUCUUUGGUCAAGAUGGAAAAGCCUCCCUUCACCAUGACAAAUUUGUCCAAUUCCUAAGACAACUUCAUGAUGAGGUAUGUCAUUCCCCCAAAUAUCAAUUCUUCAUGUACUUUAACACUUUUGAACUCAAAGACACAAUUGUACAACCUAAAAAACAAAACCUGUUCAAAUUCAGAACAGUUCCAAUUCAAAUUCAAGCAAGGUAUUUCUUCCUAUGCGUAACUCUUUAGAACUCAAGGCAUGGCUGACGGCUGUACAACCUAUAGAACAAAUGUAUGGAAAUUCAAGUAAGACUGUUAUUCCUGUGCGAAACUCUUUAAACUCAAAGGUUACGGUUGUACAAGCUAUAGAACAGAUCUAUUCAAAUUCAUGUAAGGUUGCUCUUCCUAACUCUUUAGACUCAAAGAUACGAUUGUACAAUCUAUACAAAAGAUCCCUAUUCUUUAUUAAUAAAAAACAUGAUUGGAGAAACUAUAAAGCAGAUCCUAUUCAAAUUCAGGUAAGGUCUUCUACCUACACAUGACUCAACCUACAUAAAUUGGAUGAAUGCAGAUACUUCUACUAGAGUUUUCACAUUAUGACUUCAAAUCACAAGGAAGCAUAUCAGCCAAAGACUUUGCACUGUCAAUAGUUGCUUCAGCAGACAUAAAUCACAUAGACAAACUACUGGACAGAGUUGAAGCAUUAAACAAAGAACCCCAUUUCAAAAACAUCAGAAUCACAUUUGAUGAAUUCAAAGACUUCGCAGAGCUACGCAAGAAAUUAGAAUCCUUCUCUUUGGCUAUUUUCAGCUAUGGUAAAGUAAAUGGAGAAUUAACAAAACAAGAUUUCCAAAGAGCAGCUUCCCAUGUAAGUACACACCAAACAUUUUAAGUCAACAAACUUAAAAUCAAUCUAAUACAAAAUGUGGGUUUUGUUUUUCUGUACAAGGUGUGUGGAGUUUCAAUCACUAAGAAUGUUGUGGACAUAAUAUUUCACAUAUUUGAUGCAAAUGAAGAUGGGGAUUUAAGCUCAGAUGAGUUCGUAAGAGUCAUACAAAGAAGAGAAGUGAAUUCUACACAACCAGCUGUUGGUGCUGGAGGAUUACUGUCUUGUUGGUUUGGCUGUGCAGCUAAAUGUUCUUACGCAAAGCUCUUUGUUCGCAGCUGAAGAAUUUUUUGCCCUAAUGAUGUUCCUGUAAACAUGUAAAUUUUCCGACAUGCUGAAGUACUUUCUAGUGGACUGUGUUCUUUAGGGAUAUAUCCAUUAACAAGAUUGAUCUUCGAUUUUAAGUUCAAUAAAAAUAAAGAAAUUACAAAACUUUGUUUCUCUCAUUUUGAAAACAAAAU
rnacentral:lncRNA from 1 species